rnacentral:rRNA from 1 species
GACGAACGCUGGCGGCGUGCUUAACACAUGCAAGUCGAACGAAGUGGCGAACGGGUGAGUAACGCGUAAUCAACCUGCCCUUAAGAGGGGGACAACAGUUGGAAACGACUGCUAAUACCGCAUACUGAAGGAGGGGAUUGCGUUUGAUGAGCUAGUUGGGGGGGUAACGGCCCACCAAGGCGAUGAUCAGUAGGCGGUCUUGGAGUAUGAACGGCCAAAUUGGGACUGAGACACGGCCCCGACUCCUACGGGAGGCAGCAGUGGGGAAUCUUCCGCAAUGGACGAAAGUCUGGCGGAGCAACGCCGCGGGAGAGAUGACGGCCUUCGGGUUGGAAAGCUCUGUUAAUCGGGACGCGGUACCGGAAUAGAAAGCCACGGCUAACUACGUGCCAGCCGCCGCGGUAAUAC